CCUACGGGGGGCUGCAGUGGGGAAUAUUGGACAAUGGGGGGAACCCUGAUCCAGCCAUGCCGCGUGUGUGAAGAAGGCCCUCGGGUUGUAAAGCACUUUCAGUGAGGAAGAACGCCUGGUGGUUAAUACCCAUCAGGAAAGACAUCACUCACAGAAGAAGCACCGGCUAACUCCGUGCCAGCAGCCGCGGUAAUACGGAGGGUGCGAGCGUUAAUCGGAAUUACUGGGCGUAAAGCGCGCGUAGGUGGCUUGAUAAGCCGGUUGUGAAAGCCCCGGGCUCAACCUGGGAACGGCAUCCGGAACUGUCAAGCUAGAGUGCAGGAGAGGAAGGUAGAAUUCCCGGUGUAGCGGUGAAAUGCGUAGAGAUCGGGAGGAAUACCAGUGGCGAAGGCGGCCUUCUGGACUGACACUGACACUGAGGUGCGAAAGCGUGGGUAGCAAACAGGAUUAGAUACCCUUGUAGUU
rnacentral:rRNA from 1 species